rnacentral:rRNA from 1 species
AUUGAACGCUGGCGGCAUGCUUUACACAUGCAAGUCGAACGGCAGCGUGGGCUUCGGCCUGGCGGCGAGUGGCGAACGGGUGAGUAAUGCAUCGGAACGUGCCCAGUAGUGGGGGAUAGCCCGGCGAAAGCCGGAUUAAUACCGCAUACGACCUGAGGGUGAAAGCGGGGGACCGAAAGGCCUCGCGCUAUUGGAGCGGCCGAUGUCGGAUUAGCUAGUUGGUGGGGUAAAGGCUUACCAAGGCGACGAUCCGUAGCUGGUCUGAGAGGACGACCAGCCACACUGGGACUGAGAAAGGGCCCAGACUCCUACGGGAGGCAGCAGUGGGGAAUUUUGGACAAUGGGGCAACCCUGAUCCAGCAAUGCCGCGUGCGGGAAGAAGGCAUUCGGGUUGUAAACCGCUUUUGUUCGGGAAGAAAUCCUCUGGGCUAAUACCCCGGGGGGAUGACGGUACCGGAAGAAUAAGCACCGGCUAACUACGUG